rnacentral:lncRNA from 1 species
UGCAUCCUCUGGACAGCAGAGCUGGGACUCAAAUGCAGACUGUCUAGCUCUAGAGCUUGUGUUCUUUCUUUCUUUCUUUUAAUAUUUAUUUAUUUAUUUAUUUAUUAAAAAAAUUUUUUUUCAACGUUUUAUUUUAUUUUUUUGGGGGACAGAGAGAGACAGAGCAUGAACAGGGGAGGGGCAGAGAGAGAGGGAGACACAGAAUCGGAAACAGGCUCCAGGCUCUGAGCCAUCAGCCCAGAGCCUGACGCGGGGCUCGAACUCCCGGACCACGAGAUCGUGACCUGGCUGAAGUCGGACGCGUAACCGACUGCGCCACCCAGGCGCCCCAAUAUUUAUUUAUUUUUGAGAGAGAAAGAGAGAGAGAGAGAGAGAGAGAGAGAGAGAGAGAGAGAGAGAGGAGAGAGAGAGAGAGAGAGAGAGAGAGACAGAAUCCAAAGCAGGGUCCAGGCUCUGAGCUGUCAGCACAGACCCCGAUGCAGGGCUCGAACUCACGCACUACAAGAUCAUGACCUGAGCUGAAGUUGGACGCUUACCCCACUGAGUCACCCAGGCGCUCCGUCCAAAGCUUGUGUUCUUAACAUUGUGCUGACCCAGCUGGGGUGGGUGAAACUCAAGGAGCGCUUCACAAAGUAAACAAAAGUGGCACCUCGUGCAAAGGUGAGGAGCCCGCUUUAUGGUGUUUGCCGCUCCCUUGUGGCCCUUGGCAUGCUCUGCCCCACCGUAGACACAGUUGCUCCCGAUUCUGGGUCCUACUGUCAAGGCUUCUUAAAGGUGAAGAAACUAAAACAGAGAGGUUGAAAAGCUGCGGAGCGGAGACUGCGGGCAGGCUGUGGCGUCUGUGCUCUUCUGCACACUGCCUCUCAGUAUGGAAAAAAGACUGGAAGGACAUUCCCUCACAACCUUAACAGUGGUUACCUCUGGUAGGUAAGAUGUUACUUACGUGACAAGACACACUCUGACAAAAACGUUUAAGGUGGAUGUCUAUUGCAGACUUGAACCAGUCUCUCAGAGCCUCGGUUUCUUCACCUAUAGAAUGGUAAUAAUGCCUAUCCUGUCGCGCUAAGGCCGAGAUUGAGUGAGAUAAUGUAUGCGAAAAAACUUUGAUAGUGUAGAUUUGGAACGUGUUCAAAAGGCUAUAGGUGCUGUAAUACAAGGCAACACAAAGUAGAAAGCGGGAAGACAAAAACGUCCACGGAAAUUCAGAGACUGUCGAGCUGAACAAACAUGGCAGGAGCUUGAGUGGUUUCCUAUCUCACCG